GAUGAACGCUGGCGGCGUGCUUAACACAUGCAAGUCGAACGGAAGCUUUAAAAGGAAGUUUUCGGAUGGAAAGUUAAAACUGUAGUGGCGGACGGGGGAGUAACGCGUGGGUAACCUGCCGUAUACAGGGGGAUAACACUCAGAAAUAGGUGCUAAUACCGCAUAAGCGCACAGCAGCGCAUGUAGCAGUGUGACAAGCUGAGACGGUAUACGAUGGGGCCGCGUGUGAGUAGCUAGUUGGUGAGGGAGAGGCUCACCAAGGCGACGAUCAGUAGCCGGCCUGAGAGGGUGACCGGCCACAUUGGGACUGGGACACGGUCCAAACUCCUACGGGAGGCAGCAGUGGGGAAUAUUGCACAAUGGGGGAAACCCUGAUGCAGCGACGCCGCGUGAGUGAAGAAGUAUUUCGGUAUGUAAAGCUCUAUCAGCAGGGAAGAAAAUGACGGUACCUGACUAAGAAGCCCCGGCUAACUACGUGCCAGCCGCCGCAGUAACAC
rnacentral:rRNA from 1 species